UCCGGUGACGAUGGCGAGAAGGUCACACCCGUUCCCAUUCCGAACACGGAAGUUAAGCUUCUCAGCGCCGAUGGUAGUAGAGGGCAUCCCUCUGCGAGAGUAGGACGUUGCCGGGC
rnacentral:rRNA from 1 species